AUUGAACGCUGGCGGCAGGCCUAACACAUGCAAGUCGAACGAGUGGCGGACGGGUGAGUAAUGUCUGGGAAACUGCCUGAUGGAGGGGGAUAACUACUGGAAACGGUAGCUAAUACCGCAUACCAUCGGAUGUGCCCAGAUGGGAUUAGCUAGUCGGUGGGGUAACGGCUAACCUAGGCGACGAUCCCUAGCUGGUCUGAGAGGAUGACCGGCCACACUGGAACUGAGCCAGGGUCCAUACUCCGACGGGAGGCAGUAGUGGGGAAUAUUGCACAAUUGGCGCAAGCCUGAUGCAGCCAUGCCGCGUGUAUGAAGAAGGCCUUCGGGUUGUAAAGUACUUUCAGCGGGGAGGCGUUACCCGCAGAAGAAGCACCGGCUAACUCCGUGCCAGCAGCCGCGGUAAUAC
rnacentral:rRNA from 1 species